rnacentral:rRNA from 1 species
AGUGAACGCUGGCGGUAGGCCUAACACAUGCAAGUCGAACGGCAGCACAGUAAGAGCUUGCUCUUACGGGUGGCGAGUGGCGGACGGGUGAGGAAUACAUCGGAAUCUACUUUUUCGUGGGGGAUAACGUAGGGAAACUUACGCUAAUACCGCAUACGACCUACGGGUGAAAGCAGGGGAUCUUCGGACCUUGCGCGAUUGAAUGAGCCGAUGUCGGAUUAGCUAGUUGGCGGGGUAAAGGCCCACCAAGGCGACGAUCCGUAGCUGGUCUGAGGGGAGGAUCACCCACACUGAAACUGAGACACGGUCCAGACCCCUACGGGAGGCAGCAGUGGGGAAUAUUGACAAUGGGCGCAAGCCUGAUCCAGCCAUACCGCGUGGGUGAAGAAGGCCUUCGGGUUGUAAAGCCCUUUUGUUGGGAAAGAAAAGCAGCAGGUUAAUACCCCGCUGUUCUGACGGUACCCAAAGAAUAAGCACCGGCUAACUUCGUG